rnacentral:lncRNA from 1 species
UUCGAAUAGCCGUGCCCGCGGUUAUGGGCGGGUUGAGCAAUGUUUUUCGUGAUUAGUCUCACACCUCUCACAAUAAUUAUGGAUGUUAUACUUGGUAAUAAUUUGUUUAGCUCCUGGUUUGGAGUUAGAUCUGUACAGCCGGGUAUGGUUGUUCAGGAUGGUUGGGCCUGUGCAGCAUGGGUGUGCUGUUCAGUGUUGAUUAAAAUUUCUGAUUAAUUACUCCACUAUUUUACUUCUCUUAAAUGUUUUGCUAAAUGCUGAUUUUGCAAAUGAGCCUAUAUUAUGCCAUCCUUUGGUAUCCUUGUGCACUUGCAUAUUUGCUGUGUGGCUUGUUGAGUAUGUCAUAUGCUCAUUCUUGCAAUAAUCAAUCAACCUCAGUUGAAGAUAAAGGAUCCAGAAGGAGAAGACGUUUGGCUUAUACCCCAGUUGAGCUGCCUGUGGGAGUGGAGCUGAAGCCAUCGCUAGACCGUUAAUUCCGCUGCUGUUUUCUUUUCUUUUGUAAGUGUGUAACGUUAUUAUUAUGAUGGAUUUGUAUAUUAAAUUGUCAGUUUGUGUACCUCGGCUGAUUCCUGGACGAGGAUUUUAUGCACAAAUAAAGUUCAGAAAUUACUAGUGAAUUUCCGGGCGUGACAAGUUGGUAUCAGAGCCAUCUUGACUGUAGGAUAAGCCAAAUGGUCAAACCUUAAGGACUAAUUUUCCGAAAACAUAAUUUGUGAAAAUUUUCCUUUCUUUCUUAUCUAGAAUUCUUUGCAAAUCGUUUUGUCAUUCUUCCCCCUUCCUCUUUCAACUUGAGUAGUCGUUAAUCUUGAUGGAGAAACUCGAAGACGUCGAUGUUGUCAACUUCUGCAAGUCAAGUGGAUCGAGGAAUAAGAAGAUGAUAGUCGAAUCUUAAGUGUUCAGAUAGAGUGAAGUUUGGAACCUAUCUUAGAACCUAUGCCGCCAAAGUGUCUUUGAAGAAUAGUUAGUAGGGUAGAACGUUUGUUGUUUGCUUUGUGUGUAGGUAUGGUUGCAUUCCCAUCAUUAGAGAAGUUCAUUGAUGAGUGUGUGACUAUACUAGGUUGCUUGCUUAAUCAACUUGAACAAUAUAAUGGUCUACACACAUCAGAUCAGUGUUAACCUGGUUAAGGUCUUGUCUUUAGUGUAACCCCUCUCCUUCUACCUUUUCUAAUCUGCAUCAGAAUGGUGGGAUCAUUUCCGGAUGAACAGAGCAGAACGACAACCAAUCACUUGGGAAGAGUUUACCGAAGGAUUCAAGAAGACACACGUACCUGUAGGAGUUGUUGCUUUGAAGAAGCGUGAGUUUAGGGCUUUGAAGCACAAGGAUCGUACCGUGGCAGAGUAUCUUCAUGAGUUCAAUCGUCUGGCACGUUAUGCUCCAGAAGAUGUGCGUACUGACGAGGAAAGGCAGGAGAAGUUUUUGGAAGGCUUAAAGGAUGAGCUGUCAGUUAUGUUGAUCUCUCAUGACUAUGUUGAUUUUCAGCAGCUGGUUGACAAAGCAAUUCGACUUGAAGACAAGAAGAACAGGAUGGAUAACCGUAAAAGGAAAAUGACUGUAUCCCAGGAGGCACAAGGUAGUAGCCAGAGGCAGCGUAUCAAGCCACUCCAAAUUAGUGAAUCUUCUUCCGCUGGUCAAGGACAAUCGCAACAGUUGAACAUCGGUGGUGAGAUCAAAUCAGAGACUAAUGAAAGCAAUGAAGUUAACAUCGAGCAAGCAAAUCAGCCGGUGCUAGUUCAGCAGGAUCAGUCGAAUAACAGUAGUGGAAGGGAGCAGCAGGUAUGUUUCAACUGUUACAAGCCAGGCCACUUUGCAAGAGAGUGUCCGAAGCCGAAGCAUCCGCAGUCGCAAGGUCAAGUCAACAACAUUGUCGUCACAGGAGCCAAUGCAGUGCCAGUUGCGUCUUCAAGAGUUGCGUCUUCAAGUGUUACAACUCAGCCACCAGUUUCAAAGCGGCAGUAGUUUUCUUUAAAGCCUUAGAAUAAUUAUCGGAGUUAUGGAAUAAGAUAGACUGCAGUUUACCUAUGCCUUUUUCUUUCUAGCCGUUCCGAAUCUCGGGACGAGAUUCUUUGUAAGGGGGGUAGAUUUGUCACAUCCUGAUUUUCGUUUCAGGAUUUAUAAAUUAUUUAAUAAAUUAAUAAUAGAAUUUAUAUUAAAUGUUCAUUAAUUUACAAGUAAAGUUAAAUGUGGGAAAUAAAAUUUCCUAAAUAUAAAGCAUGGUUGGAUUUAAUUUUUAUUAAAUUCUCCAUGGUUAAUUAUACUCUCUGGAAUAUUCUCGGAUUUUUCGGAGCUCAAUUCCUAAUUUUAAUCAUACAAAGAGCAUUUCAGUAAUUACCCACAUAUUAAAUUAAUCAUUAAAUGGUCUAAUUGUAAUUUUGUUAAGUACUUUGAGUGUCCAAGUAUUUUCAGGAUUUUCUUGAAAUUAUUUGAGCAUUGGAAGUAUUUUUAACAAUUCAAAAAUCAUUUCAGUGAUUAAUUUAAUUGGAAAAGUAUUUAAAAUCCCCUUCUCCUUUUCGGGCCGAAAUAGGAAAAGUUCAGCUUCAGUCCUCGGCCCAUUCUCCUUUCCUUUCGGCUGGCCUUAUCCCUCCUCCAAAGUCUGCUUUGUGUCCCUCUUUCAAUCGGGCCAAGAAGUAGAAGCCCAGCCAAAAGUCUAGUUUGCCUCCCUGCUACAGUGUCAUCUUCAAUCUCCAGCCGGCUGGAGACACAGCCGAGCCGUGCAUGCCGAGCCCGAGCCGCCCCUUUUCUCCCUCAAAUCCGCAUCCAAUCCGGCCCUUUUUCUUCCGGAUUUUUGAGGGGUUUUGAUCCUCUCGUCCUCCUCUAUCUUUCCCCUCAAGAAUCGGAGCAAAUGGUUGAGUAUAUUGCUCGAAUCAAACUCGUUUUCGGGUUUAUCUCCAAAACCGAGUUUUUGAUUUCUCGGAUCGAUUUCUUGCGGGAGGAGUCCGAUCUCUUCAAUCCAAGGCUAUAAAUAGGACCCUCUAGUCCUCCUCUUUCGUUUGCCCCUUUUCCCGAGCUCUCUAGUGCCCCGUAGCCUCGUCGCCGCGUCGUCCAACUCGCCGCCGCCGCCGGCCGAGCUUCGGCGAGGUCGCGCCGCCGCCCUUGCCGUCGCCGCCGCUUGCCGCCGCCGCCAAGAGGUGCGCCGAGGAGAGAGGAAGCCCGGCCGCCCGUCCUUCUUCGCCGCCGGUCGCCGUAGCUCGCCGCCGUCGGUCAACCCGAGCCGCCGCCCGUUCCCCGUCGUUGCCGGCCGUCGUCGGACGUCGUUUGUCGUUGUGGUGAGUACCGUUGGGUUCGUCUCGUCGUCCUCUACGUGUACAUGCCCUCCAAAUCCGCAGCCGGCCGCUCUAUCUCCGGCGAGGUCGUCAUCGUGGUUCGGCCGCCAUCAUCAUCCUUCCUUUUUCCCUUUUUUCUAAUAGAUUAAAUCUUCGGAAAAUCAUAACUAAAUAACCGUAGAUCCGUUUCAGGUGGUUCAAGUUGCUAAAUUCAUCUAAAAUCAUGAUCUACAUGUUUGUUUACUUUAUAUGUAUUGUUUAUUUGGUUUUUAUUAGUCUUUUUCUUCGUUUUGCGUGUUAGCUUGUCGUUUCCGUCGUUGCGAAGGUUCGUGAGUGCGUCAGGAGUGUUAAGAAGAUUAAUUGAAGACCGAUUAUUGCAAGGCAAGUCACACAGAUCCUAAACACAAUCCUUUGAGCAUGUUGAUCCUAUAUUUAAAUUCUCUAUUUAUUUCAACUGUGCAUUUAUUUUCGAAUGUCACCGGGUGGUGUGAACUUAUUCCUUUGUUAUGGCCAAUUUGCAUUGAUUACUUUAUUCCUUGAUACCUUGGGUUAUUAUAACUUGACUAGUUGGGCUUUAUAUAUUGGUUCAGCUAGAUAUUAGUUAUGAUUGCUUAGCCAUGCUUAGAAACAUUAGCACACUAUUGGGAUAACUUAUGACUCACUAUUAUUUAAGGAUGGCUUAAUGAUAGUUCACGAUGGUCAAUCGUGAUUGGUUAAUUAAUUACUUGCCAACUAAAACUUGAUAAUGGUGGGUUGUGAGCACAUGGUUUUGAGAGUCGUGCUCAUGACAAUUAAGGACCGGUUCGCGAGCUACUGUUGUGAAACAUUUAUCGUGCCAACCACAAGCUAGCGUGGGCAACGGCUUUAUCUUUUGUAUAGCGUGAUUCAUUAUAGUGCGCCAGACUGAGAAGUGGCGAGAAGUCCACGGGGGUCGCUGGGGAGUCCAUGCCUCUGGUUUUUGAGGGGGUGAUUAUGAUCCAGGAAAGGUGCGCUGUAAUGGAUUAUGUUGUGCAAGGGGUAUUGUCACAACUCCUUUCCGAGGUACCGUGGUGGUAUUGAGGCACAUGGUGACAUGAUGUGGGGUUGUGUCUUGUGGGUACAGUGGUACACCUCUGGCCAGAGUAAAACUAUUCGAAUAGCCGUGCCCGCGGUUAUGGGCGGGUUGAGCAAUGUUUUUCGUGAUUAGUCUCACACCUCUCACAAUAAUUAUGGAUGUUAUACUUGGUAAUAAUUUGUUUAGCUCCUGGUUUGGAGUUAGAUCUGUACAGCCGGGUAUGGUUGUUCAGGAUGGUUGGGCCUGUGCAGCAUGGGUGUGCUGUUCAGUGUUGAUUAAAAUUUCUG